CGGGCUGUAGUGUAGUGGUAGCACGAGUCCUUCGGGAGGAUUUAGCCCCGGUUCGACCCCGGGCAGCCCGA
rnacentral:tRNA from 4 species